UAUAUACUCCCUCCAUCCGGAAAUACUUGUCACCAAAAUGGAUAAAAGCGAUGUAUCUAGAUGUAUUUUAGUUUUAGAUACAUCCCUUUUUGUCCAUUUUGAUGACAAGUAUUUUCGGACGGAGGGAGUAUAAU
rfam:Triticum urartu cultivar G1812 contig1127427, whole genome shotgun sequence.